rnacentral:lncRNA from 1 species
UCAGAAAACAGGAUUCAAACAUUCGAUUCGAGGGUCAAUUAAAUUGACAAGAAUAACUGGCAUAAUCUCAGGCUUUAACAGAAGUUCUUAUGAGUCAGUAAACAGCAGAAAUCUAUUGAAAAUGAAGAAGAAGAAGAAGAAGAAAUAUGAUUAACACCAAAAAUUUAAUGGAAACAAAGAUCCGACAUCUCCGCAUGUCCAACCCAAUUUCCCCACAAAAAACCACAAUCCCAUCAUCAAUGCCCCUCCUCUCCAAUCACACUCCAAAUUACCAUCUAAAUAAACACGAUCCAAAAUCAGUAACAUACAAAUAAUAAAAAAUAAAAUCAGAACCUGGAAAAGAAGGGAACACAUAAAAGAUCCAAAAUCUUAAAUGUCCAUUACAACAAUCAAAACCUCCUCAUAUCCAACUCAAAUUCCCAUCAGUAAACCACAAUCCCAUCAUCAAAAUCCCACCUUUGCAACCAUACUCUGCAAAUUAACAUCUUAAACACUAUCCAAAAAUCACUAUCAGAUUUAAGUAGCAAUACAACACAAAACCUGAAACUGGCAAAGAGGAGAACACUUAACAGAUCCCAAAUCUUCAUAUGUUCACUUAUCCAAUCAAAAUCCUCACAUAUCCAGCUUAAUUUUUCCUCAGAAAACUAGAAUCCCAUCAUCAGUAUCCCUCCUUUCGAAUCACACUCCCCAAAUUAACAUCUUGAUAAACACCAUCCAAAAUCAGUAACAUAUUACUUGUACAAUACAAAAUGAGAACCUAGCAAAGAAGGGAAAGCAUAAAAGACCCAAAAUCCCUUCAUACCCAUCUCAACUCUCCCUCAGAAAACCACGAUCCCAGCAUCAAAAUCUCAUCUUUUCAAUCAUACACUCCAAAUCGCCCUCUUAAAGUACUAAUAGUAUACAAAAUCAGAACCUAGUAAAGAGGGGAUCAAAAAUCAUAGAGGUCGUUUGGUUUGAUGUAAUUAUAAAUGUAGUACAAUCGGAGAUGCAUGUAAUCAGAGAUACAACAGUUACAAUUACAUGAAUCUUAUUUGAUUGGAUGUCGUGGGAAGUGCCACAACUAUAAAUAAUUUGUUAGUUAUGUGUGGUUAGAAAAUGCAUUUAUAAAAUUUUAUAAAUGGGAUAUUGAGAUUAUCCUUUUUAUAGAAAAAGAAAAUUAUUUUCUAUUUGAGAGGUUAUUAGGAAGGUAAACAUACCAUUGUUUAAACAUAUUAAAAGACUCUCUCUAACUACUGCGGUUAGAACUGCUACUAAUUUGGGCAAAAUUUAAAUGAGAGUAGGGCUUGGUGGGACUCGAACUCAGGAGACCUUAGGAUUUUUUGAUAAAUCCAAAACGUGCAUUUAAAUUAAAUGAAAGAAAAUAAAUAAAGCUACUAGUCUGAUGGGAAUAGAACUCAGGACCUUCUGCUAUAAUAUUACAUUAAAUAAUAUAAAAUAAUCGCUAUUCAUCAAAAGCUUAAGUUUAAGCAGGUAAAGAACGGUGAUUUUAACAUGCGUGUUCAAUAUUUCCCCAUCAAAAUCUCCACACAACCCCUCAGAAAACCACAAUUCCCGCUUCAAAAUCCCACCUUUCCCAUCACACACUCUCCAAAUCACCCACCGAUCUCAAAAUCAGUAAGAGAAUCAAACCAAAGCAACAACGAUGCAAUGCACUACAUUCUCCAAACCUGGUAGAGAGGGGGGCGGAGGGGCUCGAAGCAAAUGGAGCAAUCGAGGACGUCGGGGUCGAUCAUAACGCUGAUCGCCUCGCCCUUCUCCUCCCCACGAUCCUCCUCCUCCUCCUCCUCGUCUCCGCCGACCCCUUCUUCAACUCCUCUCUCCCCCUCCGCCGCCUCCGCCGCCGCCUCCGGGGACGAGCUUCCUCCUCCUCCGCCGCCGCCGCCGCCGCCGCGGCCACCGCCGCAGCCGCCGGAGGCCUUGCGUUUACGGGUAAGGCUCCUCGUCGUCGGUCUCUCCCCGUCCGCGGAGGAGAGCUUCGCCAUUUGCUCGGGAGUGGAAUGAGGAGGAGGAGACGAAGCGGGGUUUUGGGGCAGAGUAGAGCGUGGCGCGGAUCAUCCAUGCGUUCUCGGUACUGCUACAGUCUAAAAUGCAAUAGUUAUAUUGCUGAUGUGAUGCUUCCUAAUGGAUGAAAUAGUUACUCUAAAGAACCGUUUGAUUAGAUAUAAUUAUAAAUAUAGUAUAAUUAAAAAUAUAAAGUUCGGUUACUAUGCUAUUAAUAGCACAAAGCACUUGGUGCUACCAAGUUUUCUACCGUUAGAUAUACCCUUUUGAUCAUUUUCAUCCGUUAGAUCAUACUAUUCAACCAACCACCCACUCAACCCUAGGGGGCCCACAUCACCCUAACCACACAUCUCUUAAUCCAAUGGCCAAAAACCUGAUAGCACCAAUGACUUUGUGCUAUUAAUAGCAUAGUAGCCUAGUUCUAAAAGUAUAUAUAGUUAAAAAUAUAACAGUGAUAAUUACAUGAAUUCUAUUUUGUAGGAUAUAAUAAAAAAUGCUGCAAUAAUAAAUAAUUUGUUUGGUUGUAUGCAGUUGAGAAAUAAUUUUUCAAAUUUAUCAUUUUAUAUAUAUGAUGAUGAAAUUAUCACCAAUGCAAAAAAAAUUAUUUUUAUUUAAAAAACAAUUAAGAAGGUAAAUUUAUUUUUUGUUGGACCUCCUCCUACAAUUUCUACUGCAAGAGAUGGAAUUUAAUACAUUAAACCAAACACCAAAUUUGCAUUUGCAUGCAGUUAUAACUACCGUGCAGUUACAACUGCAUGCAACCAAACAGCCCCUAAAAUUCACACAUUCUAUCAUAAUUUUAAAAGGGUUAAUUUUAUAAAGCUCGAUCUCUGUAAACAUAUCGAAUACUAAAUAUAUUUCUAUAACGUUCAACCUUUUCAUAUUUAUACCGAUUGUCCCUAAAGCGAGUGGCAAAAGGUUUGGUGGUUGGUACCCGAGGUCCCAAAUUUGAAUCCUAGUUUUGAUUCACAUUUCUAGCUAAGUGCCAUUUAUCUCUCAAAAAAAAAAAAAAAAAACUUUUUCAUAUUUAUUUGUACAAAAGUCCAGUAAUAUUUAUAUUUGUCCCUCUUGUUUAUUACCGCUAGAGUACUGUUUGUUUUUUAACAGAAAUAUAAGUGAAAUGAUAUUUUUGCUAUCAUAAAUAUGUCAUUUCAAAAACCUCAACUAUUAGAAUUAUGUAGAAAUAUUUUUUAAAAAAAUUUUAACGGUCAUUUUCUUACUUUCUACCAUCACAAAUAAUAUAAGGAAUAAAAAGGUCAAUUUAUCUCAUUUAUUAAUCAAGAUUGAGUAUUUUAUUUAUAGUUAACUAUAGUUUUUAACGGAUUCCAACAAUAGAAGUAUAUUUGAAAACGUUAAGAUUUUUGCAAGAAUAAAUAGAAAAAAAAAACUUUGUAGGAAUAUAUCUACUGAACGAUAUAUAUCUACAUAAAGCUGUAUUCAAUUAACCCUUAACAAAAUAUUUCCAUUAUAAUUUUUUUCUUGAAAAAAAAGAUAUAACUGACUGAAUAUAAAUAAAAAAAACUUUAAAUAUUACCCAUGUGGUUUCACACUUUCUUAUUUUAGUACCUUGUAGUUUAAAAUGUAUUAAUUAGUGUCAUGUGGUUUCAUUUUUAUCUUUUUAUUAUCGAUUCCACUAAUUUUUUUCCUUAAAUUAGUGACAAAAUUAAAACUAAAGAGUACUAAAGUGAAUAUUCGAUAAACCUAGGUGGGGUAUUUGAAGUUUGUUGUACAUAAUUUAACGAAAUAUUAACGGAGAAGCGGAUGAAAAGAUAAAAAUAAAAUCACAUGACACUAACUUGGUAGACUUUAAACAAUAGGGCACUAAAGUGAGAAAGUGCGAAACCACAGGAGUGGUAUUUGAAGUUUUCCUGUGAUAAUUUGAAAUUUUCAAGAGGCUUUUUUAUAAAAUAACCUUUUAAAAUUUUAUUAUUUGCAAAAUAAUCAUGCCAAAAUUAUAUUUAAAAAAUUAAUCUCUUAAAGACGGUGAAUGAUUCACCGCUUUAAUAAAGAGCCUAAUUUUUCAGAAAAGCGCUGAAUCAUUCACCGCCUUUUACUUGUUUAUUAUUUUUUUUAUAAUCCUAACAACCACAUAAAUAUUUCAACAAUCACAUAUAAUUUUAACAACCUGAAAAUUUUAAAAUCUAUCCAUAUAAUCCUAACAAUUAAAAAAAUUUAAUAAUCUAUCCAUACAAUUAUAAUAAUCAAACAUUACAUAUAAUUUUAACAAUUUGAAAAUUCUAAUAAUAUAUAUCCAUAUAAUCCUAACAAUUAAAAAAAUUUUAAUAAUCUAUUCAUACAAUUCUAACAAUCAAACAAAAAUUCUAAUAUUUUAUACACAAUCCUAACAACAUCACUUUUUUAUUUCCUAUAUAAUUUACGUACAAUUUUAAAAACCUCAUUUUUUCUCUUUCCCAAAUCAUUCACCGUCUUUAAAAGAACUUAGAUACUUUCAUAAUGCGGUGAAUGAUUCAUCGCGUUUUGAGAGUUAAUUUACCAAAUUCAAAUUUGAUAGGAUUUUUUCGCAAAUUAUAAAAUUUUAGAUGGUUAUUUUGUAAAAAAGUCCGUUUCGGAAGGGGGGGGGCGGAAUCCGCAAAUUUCAAACUUUGUGAGGGUAUAUAUGACAUUAUCCGCGAAUAAAGUGCGCAUUAUUGGGGCUCGUAGCGAAAAUGGCUUCUCGGACUCACGACGACGCCGCAUCCCUCGCCCCCUUCACUGCUGGUCUCCGAAGCGAUCAUGGCGAAGUUCUCGUUCGAGGAGGGAGGAGAGGGGAGCGGCGUGAGGAAGCGGAGGAGGAUCGUCGCGGCGGGGGAGAUCGAUCCCACCCGUGCGGAGAAGCGAUUUGAGGAGUCGGAGGUGGAGGACGACGAAGGAGAGGAGGCGAUCGAAGAGGAAGAGGAAGAGGAAGAGGAAGAAGAAGGAGCGAUUGCUACGGAGAAUGGCGAUGGGAUUAGGGUUAGGGUUGAUCCCGACCUUUUGGAUUGCUCCAUUUGCUUUGAGCCCUUGCGACCUCCUCUUUACCAGGUUUUGGAUCUAUUCGCACCCUCAUUAUUAUUUUUAUUUAUUUAUUUGAUCUUAUUGCUGUUGUUGUUUGUAUGAUCGUAAUUGUGCAAAAAAAACACGAAAGAUGAAAUUUUUUAUAUGAUAUGAUGGUAAUUGCGGAAGCAGCAUGAUGUGAAAGAUGAGAUUUUUGAGCUUUCAAAAAAAAAAGAAAAGAAAUAGAAAGAUGAGAUUUUUUUGAUAUGAUUUUGUUGCCUGUUUGAGGAAGGAAUGAUUUGGGUAUAUGCUAAAUGUUAAUAACUUGGAUAAUUUGUUAGCUCAAUUAUACCAUUGGUCUCCAAAUUUUAUUCAUAUCUUAAAAAAAAAAAUUGUUACGCAAAUGAUCAAUCCGAUAGGAAAUGGCCAUACUCAUCAACCUUAGUUUCAACAUUUUAUUUUCGCAAUUGUGUUCUCGCUUUGAUCUUCAACCUUUCAAUUUUUAAAAUUGAGUCUGUAAUGCUUAUUACAUCAUUGGUCUCCAAUUUUUAUGUAUAUUAAUGAAUAUUGUUACUCAAAUGAUCGAUCUGAUAGAAAACGGCCAUACGUAACAACCCUAGCUUCGGCAUUUUAUUUUCGCAAAUGGGUUUUUUCUUUAAUCUAGUGUCGUGCAAUUUCUUCAAUUUCAGUGCAGAUUAGGGUUCUUUGAUACAUAUGGAAGCUUAUUAUGAGCUCUCCACAGUCAAAUAUUGUAUCAGUGGUUUUUUUUUUUUUUUUUUUUUUUUUUUUUUUUUUUUUUUUUCUGUUUAAGAUCCUCUUGGUAUAUGAUAUGCCUCUGUUUAGAUACGACGGUGUCACUUGCGCAUAUGAUGGAAUCAUAAGCCUUUGCGGCUUGUUUGGCCCUGCUUUUGCUUUGUUUUUUACCGGCAGUAAACCCUAGUAAAGUGUUUGGUGAAAGAGGGAAAGAGAAAAAUCUAGACCUUCUGCUGUAGCCGGGAGCAGAAAUGAUAAUUUCUAUGCCUCAAAAGUAGAACCAAGUUCUCUUUGGUUCUUCUGAGUUAAUGCAGAAGAAAAGCCGUUAAGGUUAUGUUGAUGUAAUGCUUCUCCCAAUAGCACUGCUCAGACAGCACUUUGUCGUACAGUACUAUACCGUAUAGCUGAUGACGUGUUUAUUUGGGCUUACACUUGCUUUUCUAUACUAAUGGAGCGGAUGACUCGACCGGUGCAAGUACAGAGGCCGGAUAACCUGAGUUUUAUUGGGGAUACUUCCUUCAAACCCUUUGAAACUCGAGUAUCAAAUACUUUUUUGCUCAGAUAGGCUAUUAUAUUCAGAUGGAGUUUUGUGUAAAUUCAACUGUAAAAGUACAUGCAUAAUGUUUUUACUGUUUUGCAGAGCCCUUUACAUCCACAGACGCAGGAUAACCUCUUACAACCGAAAAUAAUUAAGCGGCAUCAUGAAAAAAGUGAUUACUUUGUGCUAGGCUAAACGGUUUGAGACGUUUCACUUAUCUCUGGAAACUCUGGAUUGUAAUUAAUUUGAAACCCGAUCAUGAAGUGCUUACGGAAAUGCUAUUUGUAUUAUAAAGUUGCCGAUGCUGUAGUUCUAGGCACAAAAUGGAUGACAUGGGUUUAAAUAAGACUGUAGGAAGAGGAGUAUUCUCGUUAAAUAGUAAACAAUGGAAAAGAAAUCAACUUGACUAAAGCAUGGUUUUUAGGGAACUCUGUAAAAGCUAAUUUGCAACAAACCUAUUAUUUCAUGGAUUUACAAUUUGUAUCAGCCGGAACUGUAUGAAAGCUAAUAUGCACGAAAAGGUUGUGCUCAUGUCCGUUUCGAUAUUACCUUACCGGAAAAGGCAAAAAAAGAAAAUUGAAACAAGAGAAGCGGUUGCUUAAAUCCCAUAAUUAUUUGGCAUUUUUUACAGAAAUUUGUUAUCUAAGAUAGUGAGUAAUUAAAUUAAAUUGUAGGAGCUUGUAUGUCUAUUUGAAAUUUUAUUUGAUUUGCUUGCGAGCUCAGAACUUUUCUAGGGGUAUAUUACCAAACAUCAGAGACUUGUACUGCUACUGGAGUUAUUCCUCACUAAUUAUCAUGCAGAAGAGUGUAUCAGUGGAAGCUAUGGUUCUUAGUUAUAAAUAUUAUCUUUUCUCAACACUCUAUGCGAAACACCUGAGUAUCUAUGAAGGAUCCUACACUGAGUUUUUCUAUGUUAACUAAGCGAACAUAUGCCCCAUAAUUUCAUCCUUUAAUCGAUCAAUGUACUUCGUGUUCUUUUACUUUAAUUUCGUCCUUUGUAAACCCUUGCAUUAUCUGAUGAGAUCGAUUUGUUUACUUCUCCAGUGCCAAAACGGUCAUGUGGCGUGUUCUUCAUGCUGGUCCCAGCUCUGCAACAAAUGCCACAUCUGCUCUCGUGAAGUGAGCCGCAGCCGGAACGUCUUCCUCGAAAAGAUCAUCGAGUCGAUCAAAGUCUCGUGCUCGUACGCCAAAUGGGGGUGCCCCGAAAAUAUAAGUUACCCAAAAAGGCCCGCCCAUGAAGAGAAAUGUAUCUUCGCCCCGUCCGAGUGCCCCUUUCCCGGUUGUUCAUACAAGGGCUUCAAUCGGUGCUGGUCGGGCCACUUCGUCUCUAGUCACAAAUUGUUUCCCAAGAAGUUUAAAUACGACCACUUGUUCAAGAUGAGUUUACCGACUACCGAGCAAUUUGUAUAUCUUUUAGGACCCGACAGCCAACUCUUCCUCUUACUUAACAAAAAUGUUGAGCCCACCGGUUAUGCUCUUUCCAUAGUUUGCAUUCGUGGUGGCGUUAUGAAGUGUAAGUUCUCUUACGAACUCGCUGUAACUGCAAGCAAUGGAAGCUCUUUACAGUUGAAGGCCUCUGUAAUGGAUAUUAGGGAGUGGAACGGAAUUUACCCGACCGAUGCGUUCCUUUUGGUUCCGUCGGAGUUCGCUCCCUCCGCAAGCGAAAUCGAAGUCGAAGUCUCUGUUUGCAAACUGUAAUCUUCUGUUGCAAAGUGUAAAGAAUAGGUUGCUUUGUAUAUUAUAUGUGAGAAAGUGCUUCUCUCUGCUGGAGAUAAGAUGCAAAUUUUGUUUUGUUUGUUGUGAUCAGUUCAAUGUCUUGUAAAAUGAGAAGGUUUGGGAUUACUAAUUUAAUGAAAAUAUAUUUGUCAUGUUUCAUGUUUAAAAGGACUCGAUCUUAUGCUGCAUAAGUUUGACAUAUGUUUCUCUUAACUACACUUUAAACAUCAUACAGAUAAUACAAAGUUUAGAAGUACAACAUAAGUAAAUUUAACAACAUCAUAACUCAGAACAACAAUUUUAUUCCAGAAGAUAUAUAGGUAUAGGAAAACUUCAAAAAACCCCCCGUGCUUUCGUAGUUUCUCACUUUGCCCCCCUGUGGUUUAAAAUGUAUCAAAUUGCUCCCGUGGUUUCAUUUUUAUCUUUUCGGUAGCUUUUUCGUUAAUAUUUCAUUAAAUUAUAUACAAAAAACUUCAGAUACCCAUCUAGAUUUAUCAAAUAUUCACUUUAGUACCCUUUAAUUUUAACUUUAUCACUGAUUUAAGCAACAAAAAUAAUAAAAUUGAUAAAAAAAAAAGAAAAAAGAAACCACAGGGGAGCAAAUUGAUACAUUUUAAACCACAGGGUGGCAAAGUGAGAAACUACGAAACCACAGAGGGGUUUUUUGAAGUUUUCCCUAGUAUAGGAUAUCAUAGAAGAAUUCAAAGACUACUAUAGAAUAUCAUAGAAGAAAAUUCAGAUUUCAGCAUAUACUUCAAAAAAGUUAAUAACAUGAUUUGCACUGCAUAGUCUCUUCAAAAGACUAGAAAACAGAUACUAUACAAAAUAAUAGAAGGUAUAUCAUGUGUGACACAUUACUAAGUUACCAUUCCAUAUAUUCAGCAUAAUAUGCUUAACUUUUUGGUGCUUUAGGUUUCAAAAUAUACAUCCCCAAAAUUCCACUAUCAAAAUGUUACUAUUACUAACAACUCGAGGCUCCACCCGCGCACUUCUUCUUUACCUGAAAUUAGAGAACAACGAGGAGUUAGAAACAUAUUAUUUAAGGUAUCGUUUGGUUCGGAGAUAAGCAAAAAGUAGCUAUUUCAGGAAUAUGUAUAAAUUAAGGUAUAAGCGGGAAUUAGAUCAAUUUUGCGUUUGGAUCAAAAUUAGGUUAUUCCUGGCAAUAAAAAAAAUAGCGUUUAGUUAGAUAAGAUAGAAUAAGAAUUAAAGUGGGUAGUUAUAAAUAAAAAAUAAUAAUAUUAUCCUUUUCUUUAUAUUAGAAUUUGAAUUUUUAUAUUUUAUAUUUUAAAAUAUAAACUUUUAAAUUUCAAAUUUUGAAAUUAAAAUUUGAAAUUUAAAAUCUCAAAUUUUAAAUUCAAAAUUUUAAAUUUUAAAUUUUAAACUUUAAAUUUAAGAUCGAAUUUAAAUUUAAAAAAUAUAAAAUAUCAAAUUUUAAAUUUCAAAAAUUUAAAAUAUCAAAAUUUAAAUUUAAAAUUUAAAAUUUAUAAUUUAAAUUUUAAACUUUAAUUUUGAGAUUACAAAUUAUAAAUUUUAAAAAUUUAAAUUUUUAAUUUUUAAAAUUUUAAAAUAAGAAUAGGGGUGGGAACAAUUAAUAAAAAUAAUUUAUUAUAAUAAAUUUAUAAAUUUGAUAAAAAUAAAUUUUUUAUUAAAAUUAUAAUUUUUUUAUUAUUAAUAAAUUUAAUAUUUUUUUAAAAUUCUACUUAAACUUAAAUUUAAUAAAAAUAAUUUAUUAUAAAAUUUAUUAUAAUAUUUAAAUAUAAAUAAUAUGUGUUAAUAUAGUACAAUUAAUAAUUUUAUAAUAAAAAGCAAUGUAUUAUAAUAUAUAACAUAUUAUAUUUAUAUAAUUUAUUUUGAAUUUAAUUUAUAAUUUUAAUUAAGUUUGAAAUUAAGCAUUGGAAUAGAACUAUUCCACCAAAAUGAUGGAAUAGUAAAUAUGAAGCUAUUCUGGGAUAACCGGAAAUAGCAAGAUUUGACAGGAAUAAAAUAUCCAGGCAAAAAAUCACUCCGUUUGGCAGAAUAGCGGGAUAACUUUCAUUAUCCCCGCUUAUGUCCCGAACCAAAUGGGAUAAAGGUUUUUAGGUGGGUAUACUGCCCAAAAAUAGCAAGCUCCCCAAUCGCGACGAAAACUAAUAAUAGAAAUAACAUACUUUAAUAUAUAUCAAUUUACAGUUGCUACAAAUUAGUGCACAAUAGUAUGGAAUUUAUGUUGAGAUGCAAGAAUAGUACAUGUAGCCUACACUACAUGCCCAUUAGAGUAACCACCACUCAAAUUACUAUCAACAUACAGUAAUGCGUGAAUGCGGAUGUUUCAAUUAUCAAAUCAUGUGCAGGCAGCCGCCACCCCAAAACAUUACAAUAUGACAUGAAAAAGUGCAUGCGAAUGUUUCUAUUAUUUUUAUUAAGUCAUAGAUCGGGAACCACCUCCGAAAUAUUACUCAUAUACUAUAAGUGGACCCAAUCACAUUUCGAUCCUCAGGUUGCGAGACCAUACUUGUCUCAUAUAGCAUAACCAGCGCUCUCUACUAGAUUGCGAUCCUUGUUAAAAGCGCGAUAACAUAAAGUAUCCACAAGUGCAAGCGAUCACUGUAUUCAACAGCUAAUGUUUCAGAAUUAUGAAUAUGCUCAAUUUGAUAUUACUUGAUUGAUCAACACUGACUGUCAAAUAAGAAUGUAUGUUAUGAAUGCAGACUAACUUACGGAAAGUAUAUUCGUAAUUAAGACUAACUUACAGCAGAAGAUCCAGUUUUACGAAUGCAGAGAUCGAGCAGAAAUUCGCCAUCAGAAUUACGGAAAUCAGAGGGCACCAUAAGAGAAGCAUCUGUCGGGUGGACUCCUUUCCACUCCUUUAUAACACCUACAUUAGCCUUGAACUGUAGAGGAGGUCUGUUUCCGGUAUUCACCUCUAUAUCAUACGAGAACUGCCAAGUCGAAACGCCGCUUUGAAGGCACACCAAGGAAAAAGCACAACCCACAAGCUCGAAACUGUUGUGCAGUAGUAGGAAUACGUGCUUUCCUAUAUAAUCAUCCCCAGCUAUAAGAACCGUAAACGGAUCCCUAGUUGGUACACUGAUUUUGAACACUUGGUUGUAUUUGAACCUCUUCGGAGUCUUGCUGUGGAUCAUAAUGAAGUGGAUUGGCCACAAUCCUUUGUAACCUUUAUAGAUGCAGCCGUGGAAUGGGCACUUGGAUGGUGCAAAGAUGCAAGUCUCUUUGUGGGCGGUCUUCUGUGCAAAAUUUAUGCUUUCGCGGCAGCCCCAUUUGGCGUACGAGCACGAGACUUUUAUUGACUCGAUUAUCUUCUCGAGCCAGAUGUUGCGAGUGCAGUUACCUUCAUCAGAGCACAUGUAGCAUCUGUUAUCACGCUUCGACCAGCAGGAAAAGCACACCACAUGACCAUUACGGCACUGAAAAUAAACAUACAAACAUUAGAUUGGCUUACCGCAUUUCAAUGAUACUGAUGAUGAUAAUCAUUGAAAUAAUAAGGUAUGUAAAAAUUCAGAUGAAAAUGUGGCAUGGUAAUGGAAAAUGAAUUCAUAUUAGCGUAAUUAAUAGUGAAACUGCGAAAGAGCUCGAAUGAGGAGGGAAAAAUCUAGCCGUUUGCAUUUUCGAAGAACAACUGUGUUCCAAUAUACGAACAGGCCCGUCAAAAGGUCUAGCCUAAUCACGUUUUUAUCUUUUCCCUGUCUAAGUAGACAGUAAUAUUGAGAUCCCUAGUCAGAAACACGCUAUUAUUACAAAGUUACAAUCUGAAAUUACGCCGAACAAAUUGUGUCUUGAGAAUAGCUUAAUCAGAGUUUACAUGGGAAGCCGAAAAUCCAUUAUACUAUGAGGGGAGCUCACAGCAUAUGAUAGUAAAACUUAUCAGCAGCUUGUUCAAGCAGAAUGCUCUUGGGUGAACCCCAUAUGAAAGCGUAGUAGUAGUCCAAUCUAACGAAACUUCACAAAACAAGCGGAGUAGGCAAUAAUGCAGAUUACUGACUCUACUCAUCCUUGCCAAGAUGAUUUCAUGAAAUGAAUGGUUCCAAUAGGACGACGUUAUUUUUCAAUUCUCAUACUUUGAGGAUCCACUAGAAGUGCUGAACCGUGAUGCAAGACCACUGUCUUAAACCAACAUCAAAGCACAACCCAAGCUAUCUCAUGUACGGUAUCAAAGAAACAGCGACAAACAUAACCUAGAACACAUCAUAUACUCAAAAUCUCACUCAAUUCACUUCACCAAUCGAAAUCUCCCGAAACCCUAUUCAAGCAUUCGAUUUGAGGGUCAAUUAAAAUUGAUAAUAAUAACUAGGAUAAUCUCAGGCUUUAACUGAUAAAAAAAACGACAUUUGUUAUGAGUCAGAAAACAGUAGUAACCUGCUGAAAAUGAAGAAGAAGAAGAAAUACAAGUAAUACCCACAAUUUAAAGGAAAUUGCGACAUGCCCAACCCAAUUCCCCCUCAGAAAACCACGAUUCCAACAUCAAAAACCCUCCUUUCCAAUCACACUCUCCAAAUUACCAUCUUAAUAAACACUGUCCAAAAUCAGUAACAUAUUACUAAUACAACACAAAAUCAGAACCUGGUAAAGAAGGGGAUACAUAAAGAUCCAAAAUCUUAAAACAUUUACUACAUCCAUCAAAACCCCGCAUAUCCAACUCAAUUCCCCCUCAGAAAACCACAAUCCCAUCAUCAAAAUCCCACCUUUUUGACAACACUCUCUGCACUCUCUGAAUUAACAUCUUAAACUAUUCAAAAAAUCACUAACAGAUUAAAGUAGCAAUACAAUACAAAACCCGAAACUGGUAAAGAGGAGGACACAACAGAUCCAAAAUCUUAAUAUGUUUACUUCUCCAAUCAAAAUCCCCAUAUACUGAGCUCAAUUUUCUUCAAAAAACCACAAAUCUCAUCAUCAAUAUCCGUCCUUUCCAAUCACAAUCUCCAAAUUACCAUCUUAAUAAACAACAUCCAAAAUAAGUAACAUAUUACUAAUACAAUACAAUAUCAGAAACUGGU